rnacentral:misc_RNA from 1 species
GAAAUGCGAUAAGUAGUGUGAAUUGCAGAAUUCAGUGAAUCAUCGAAUCUUUGAACGCACAUUGCGCCCCUUGGUAUUCCAUGGGGCAUGCCUGUUCGAGCGUCAUUUGUACCCUCAAGCUCUGCUUGGUGUUGGGUGUUUGUCCCCGUCUCCGCGCGUGGACUCGCCCCAAAGUGAUUGGCAGCCGGCGUACUGGUCCCGGAGCGCAGCACAUGUCGCGCAAACGAGUGCCUUGGUACGGCGGCGUCCAUAAGCCCCUCUCUCACGCUCUUGACCUCGGAGCAGGUAAGGAUACCCGCUGAACUCAAGC